CCAGGAAGUGCUGUUGCAGUUGGGUUGAUGAAAGUGUGAGGAUCCAUCUCCAUCCAGCUUGUUCUUUUAGUUUAAAGUGAUCCAGUCAGCUUACACAUUUCUACAUACACAUUUUCUGCCUUACGGAAGGUCUUACGCCACUGGAGAAACAUCAGAGAGAGACGUUUAAAGCUGAGUGGAGUGGCAAACAGGUUACCACAAGGUCCUUAACCCCUGUCUGCAGUGCCCCCUGGUGUGUGGACACCGGCGUUUACAAUUUGUUUAGAUGUGAAACAAGUUGCUCAUUAACCAAAACUAAGUGCCACAGGUGGAGGCUGUUGAAAAGAGGCCUGAUGGAUGUUUUCCUGUGUUAAUGGUCCUUAUCAGUGGAAACCUCUAAUGCUGGCUAUGAGAGAGAAUAAACUUCCACGUGCAACCACAGCGUCACCAGUUCUAUUCACCCGACACCAAGAAGCAUUAUCAGGCAGAAACACAGCAGAAGUGAAUGUGCGUGGAGCUGAUGGAUUGCACCCUGAGUCAUGCAUGACUUAGCAUCUCGUUUGUUUCCCCCGCUAGCAUAGACGGUGGAACAACGGCAGGAUUUACACAGACACAAAAAGCUGACAAAUCAUUUGUCUCAUCCUGUGUCACCUUUCUACUCCUGCUUUGUGCUGGAAUCCAUGGUGGAAACCUAUCCAGGGAUGUCUGCCCUUUAGCCAUGAUGCUAGCUAACAACAAGAUCUGAUAGAGCUGUACGAUAACUGUAGGAUGUGAACUGCAGAACUUUACCACCCCUACCUCCAUAUCCUUACUUACAUGACUGAUUACAUAAAGGAUGCACUACUUCCUGCAUUGACAGUGAACACUGACUUCUGACCGAACUUUGGCAUUGGAUGUACAGUAAAUAUGAAAACAAGGCUGGCACAUGCAUAGUUAUGUAUUAACAUAUAAGGUCUAGGCAAUACGAUUUAAAGUCUAAAUCACAAAUAAUUGUCACCUUUAUCUCUAAUUAUAUAUGGUAACUUUUUAAUGCAUCAGUACGUGAGAUUUUCUUUCUCGUGCUUGCUUUAUUUUUAAAAGUUUGUCUAGAUUUUUCCAGUAUGAACAUUUAGAGAUUGGACUGGACUUCUGGCUAAAUGUUUGGUUGAAUGUCUUGUUAGAUGUCACUGGUUAUUGUCUGUUCUCACUCUAGUAUUUAUUUAUUGAAAAGUCGGUAAGAGAUUCACAAUGUUGGAAAUGCAAUAAAUUUGGUCAGUUUUCCAGCCCUAGUAUGUAUGUUGUUAUGUCUGUAUAUCUAUGUAGGUAAGCAAGUAGAUAUUUACUGUAUGUAUGAAGUGUGUGUACAGUAUGUGUCCGAUGAAAGUUAAUACUUCUAUGUGAAAUUAAAUCAUAAGACCUC